rfam:Triticum aestivum genome assembly, contig: Triticum_aestivum_CS42_TGACv1_scaffold_221285_3B
UUCCUACUCCCUCUGUCCGAAAAUACUUGUCAUCAAAUUGGAUAAAAAGAUAUGUAUAAAACUAAAAUAUGGCUACAUACAUUUCCUUUUAUCCAUUUUGAUGACAAGUAUUUCCGGACGGAGGGAGUAUUUG